CCUACUCACAGAGUGAAAAUGUCGAAGAACACGGAACUAUGUUUCUAGUUACAAAAUUCGAACGAUUAAAUCUAGACAUGAAUAAUGCUCGCAAUUUAAAGUUUGGUUAAAGUUGUUGGGUUGUGAGAAGAGUGUGUAAAUUAUAUUGGAACUGCUUUGUAAGCUUGAAGAGA